rnacentral:rRNA from 1 species
AUGCAACCCCGGCGGCGCUUCAAUGCAGCUCCGGCGACGAUUCAAUGCAACUCCAGCUGCGCUUCAUUGGAACCCGACGAAGCGUUCAACGACGCCGCGGCGCUUCAUUGUAUCUCCGGCGGCCCCAUCGAUGCUCCACUGCAGCAACGUGCAUGGCGAGCUCUGUGGCAGCGCCGACGUCGGUGGAUGCUGGGACGCCGCGUGCGACGGCAAUGGUGGAUGCACCGACGCGACAACAACAACACAAGGCGGCACCGAUGGAUGCUUCGAUGCAGCCACCCACUAUCGACAGCAUGCGGCGGCUCCGGUGGAUGCCACGACGCGGUCCUGCUGUGGUUCUCAAUGGUGCCAUCCUCUCGAGCUUGCAUCAAUGGCAGCUACGGCCAUGGCUGGAUUGCAGCAACAGGGUGGCUAAUGGGGCAGGGUAGCAUCCAUGCGGCGUCGCUGGCGGUGCCUCCCGGUUCCCAUUUGUGGUGGUUGGUGGUGCUCGCCAUGGGAUUGACGGCCUCUCCUAUGGCAGUUAAGAACAAGGAAGAAAAGGGCAAAGAGAGAAAAUGA